AUUGAACGCUGGCGGCAGGCCUAACACAUGCAAGUCGAACGCGUGGCGGACGGGUGAGUAAUGCCUGGGAAACCUCCCGAUUGAGGGGGGGAACUACUGGAAACGGUAGCCAAUUCCCCAUACUACCGGAUUUGCCCACAUGGGAUUAGCUUGUAGGUGAGGUAACGGUUUACCUAGGCGACGAUCCCUAGCUGGUUUGAGAGGAUGACCAGCCACACUGGAACUGAGACACGGUCCAGACUCCUACGGGAGGCAGCAGUGGGGAAUAUUGCACAAUGGGCGCAAGCCUGAUGCAGCCAUGCCGCGUGUAUGAAGAAGGCCUUCGGGUUGUAAAGUACUUUCAGCGGGGAGGCGUUACCCGCAGAGGAAGCACCGGCUAACUCCGUGCCAGCAGCCGCGGUAAUAC
rnacentral:rRNA from 1 species